GUCCCUGUAGCGUAAUGGAUAACGCAUUGGACUUCUAAUCCAAAGAGCGUGGGUUCGAAUCCCACCUGAAAUG
rnacentral:tRNA from 1 species